GUCCACGCUGUAAACGAUGGGUGCUAGGUGUGGGCGGUGUCGACUCCGUCCGUGCCGCAGCUAACGCAUUAAGCACCCCGCCUGGGGAGUACGGCCGCAAGGCUAAACUACAAAGGAAUUGACGGGGGCCCGGCACAAGCAGCGGAGCAUGUGGUUUAAUUUCGACGCGACGCGAAGAACCUUACCAAGGCUUGACAUGCACUGGAAUGUCGUAGAAAUACGGCAGCCCUUCGGGGCCGGUGCACAGGUGGUGCAUGGCUGUCGU
rnacentral:rRNA from 1 species